GACGGAGGGGGCUAGCGUUGUUCGGAAUUACUGGGCGUAAAGCGCACGUAGGCGGCUUUGUAAGUUAGAGGUGAAAGCCCGGGGCUCAACUCCGGAAUUGCCUUUAAGACUGCAUCGCUAGAAUUGUGGAGAGGUAAGUGGAAUUCCGAGUGUAGAGGUGAAAUUCGUAGAUAUCGGAAGGAACACCAGUGGCGAAAGCGGCUUCCUGGUCCGACACCGACGUUCAGGCACGAAAGCGUGGGGAGCAAACAGG
rnacentral:rRNA from 1 species